rnacentral:lncRNA from 1 species
AAAUGGAUAGAAUACAAUCAACACAAGAAAUUGAAGAUGGCAGCCAAUCCCUUGAUGCAUUUGCGUCUGUCAUGGGACCUGAGCAUCCAGGACGCCUAAGAUUGUACGGACGUGGGGUUAGCAAGACUUCCUUAAAAAGAAAAGUGGGAUAUAUAACCUCUCCAAGUUCUAUCGAUGAGAUACUGCAACAAAAAAUGGUGAUAAUGGAAGAAAGGAUGCAACAAAGAAUGCUGGAAAGUUUCAAUGCACAAAAGAUGCCAUGGAACAACAAUUUGCAUUUAACAUCAUUUCACAACUUAAGCAUCUGAAUCCAUACUUACGGGUUGAUCCCAUCAUGCUAAGUUUCAAUGCUCGCUCACCUGGAGAUGCUUCCUCUGCACAACAAGCUUCUGUGCAACUAAUGAAUUGUCUAUCUACUGGGAGGAAUAAUCGUGGUCAGUACGUACUCUUCUUCUCUUCCUCCUCCUCCUCCUUAUUCUUCUUCUUCUGUUACUUUUCUUCCACUUCUCUUGUUGAUUUGGAUAUUGGUUAUUCAAUUCGCGAAAUGACCGCAAAUAGUGUCCAUGGGAACUAGGUCGGUCUGCCUCGCUUUGCGGCCGAAUUCGGCCUGCAGACCAGUUCUGCGGUUGCAUAAUGCGCCACAGAACCUCCAUCUGCAAAUGUCCAAGGACGAUUAUGCCACCAAAGUGCGACCCAUAAAAUGGAUAUGCGGUCACAUAAUUUCUGAUAUGUCAAUUGUUAAUGCAUCCAAACUGAAUUUCGUCAUGAUGCCCAUGUUAUCACACUUAACCUGGCUGCCUGGAUUGAUUGAUCUGCUUCUAGAACCAUGUCUACCUAAUCACAUGUAAAACUUAUCCAUUCUUAUGAUUUGAACCUCUAUUACGAGCAUACUAAUCUGGUUUUAGAUCAUCUACUCUUCUGUUAUAUUCUGUAAUCUAAUAGAAACAUCUUUAUAUAUAUAUAUAUAUAUAUAUAUAUAUAUAUUGAGUAUCCUCUGUGAGCCUCUACACUUAGAUGUUUUGUUAACAGACUUCCUGUUUGUCUUUCAUUUGAGAGAUACUCAUGCUUCUGCUCUCAUACUCUUCACUUAAAAUUGUAUUAUCCCAUAAAGAAGAAGCUGAAUCUUGAUAGCUUAACAACAUAGAAUUUGAAAUGUAAAGUUAGCUGUUAACACUUAUGAACUUAAGGGAAACCCAUUAAUAUUAGCUUGCCCUGUUAGAAUGAAUCAUGCACUAUGCUUGGUCGAAUAUUUUGGCUCUUAAUGCCCUUUAGAAGAAAUCUUAAAAAGACCAUUAGUCAAUAUACCUAGUAUAAAGAGGACUUAACCAUGUAUAUGAACUUUUGAUUGUUGAGUAAGUCUAAAUAACUGUUGAGGUACUGUGAACUUGGUUAAGGAAUCCUGCAAAUUUCAACCUAUCAGUAGGAUUAGUGAGGUUAAUAUACAUGUUUUCUCUCUUCCCUGGAUAACCUAACUUCGCAUUUGUAAACUUGGAUUAAUCUAUUGGUGGUUGCUAUGAAAUCUCAUUGUUUUACAUUUGUGGCUAAUUUCUUUAAGUGUUCUGAUACAUGUUAAAUGUCACUAAGUACUAUCAACAACCUACAUUCUUGAAUUGUGAUCUUAAAGUUAAUAAUGUAAUCGCAUAUUAUUCAUGACCUUAUAUUUUGAUGAUGAUGUUCUAUAUAGCUUCCAACAAGCUAAAGACUUAACCAGAAACAUACUCCACAAAACCCAAGUUUUCAAGUUUAGGUACAUCGGCUUUCACAGGCUCUAAAACAUAAAAAGCCAGAAAUAUUUGGUAUGCCUAUCUAAUUGAUAAAUGGCCAUCAAAUUAGUAAACAUAAUGAACAUAAAAGAGACAGAAAAAGAACAACAGCUGAAUAGCAAACCUCCAGAUUUCGCGAUGUUACUUCCCAUUUCAUGCUGCAGUGCAAGUGAUGUUGAUAGUGAGGAAUGCAAUGUGGAAAGAGAGUAAUUCUCGAGUACGGUGAACAUGAGCUCUUAUGGAUCGAUCAUCGUAUAGUGUUGCAAAAAUCAGUUUUAAGUUAGAGGAAACAAGUAUAAGCUCAUUUCUGCUUUUACUUGUUUUCUUCUUCUGCUGGCCACAUGAUUGUUGAUUAGCAACGUUAUUUAAGAACUCGGUGUCUUCUGAAUGCUAGGUUGGUGUCCAUGUAGUGGUGAUACUAUCUCUGUCUUAUUCCAUACCAUGAUUGUAACUGGAAUUAAACCAUGUUUGUAACUGCUGGAGUUUAACUACUGUUGGUAACUACUAUACCCAUUCUUAUUUAAAGACUUUAUCUAUUCUCUUUUAUAGGUUGAGCAACUGAAGAAAGGGAAGAUGGAGAAGGUGGAGCAACUGAAGAAAGGGAAGAUGGAGAUAGUGAAGAUAUAGACCUUACUUAAGAACAACUUUGAGUUGUUGUCGAUAUUCUUAGUGUCUUUUGUUAUAGCAUUUGAAACUUUAACUUUUGAAAUGUUGAACUUUAAAACUUAUGUAAUUGGGUUAAAACAUUUUGCUAUUAUCGUUAUUCUUAGUUUAUUGGAUAUGAAAGAUUAUUAAGUGUUUUUAGACCUUACUGAAGAACUUUGAGUUGUUGUCGAUAUUCUUGGAGUCUUUUGUAAUAGCAUUUGAAACUUUAACUUUUGAAGUGUUGAACUGUGAAACUAUGUAAUUGGGUUAAAACAUUUUGCUAUUAUCGUUAUUCUUAGCUUAUUGGAUAUGAUAGAUUAUGAAGUGUUUUAUCUUUUUAUUCAUAUAAUUUUCAGGUUAUAAUUACAAAUAUUUUCAGGUGGUAAUGUCUACUAAAUGUUGCAAUAGCCUCAUAG